rnacentral:sRNA from 1 species
GCCUGAAAGAAAGCAUGUGUGCCAUGUAAAGCCAUGCCUGAGUUUCAGCCUUUCAGGUGAUAGAAGGGCCAUCCACUUCAACUCUCGCCCUCCCUUUUAGGCAUUUUUUUACAGAGGCGUGGAAUUGGCAAAAGAAAAAACUACAAUUUG